rnacentral:rRNA from 1 species
UACAGAGGUCUCAAGCGUUGUUCGGAUUCAUUGGGCGUAAAGGGUGUGUAGGUGGCGCCGUAAGUCGGGGUGUGAAAUUUCGGAGCUUAACUCCGAAACUGCAUUCGAUACUGCGGUGCUUGAGGACUGGAGAGGAGACUGGAAUUCAUGGUGUAGCAGUGAAAUGCGUAGAUAUCGUAAGGAAGACCAGUGGCGAAGGCGGGUCUCUGGACAGUUCCUGACGCUGAGGCACGAAGGCCAGGGGAGCAAACGGG